CCCUUAGAGUUUGAUCCUGGCUCAGGACGAACGCUGGCGGCGUGCUUAACACAUGCAAGUCGAGGGCACUUUGGGGGCAACUCUGGAGUGACCGGCGAACGGGUGCGUAACACGUGAGCGACCUUGCCUCGUGGUGGGGGAUAGCCGGCCCAACGGCCGGGUAAUACCGCAUAGGGUGGUUCUUUCGCAUGGGAGAACUAGCAAAGCCCUGGAGCAAUCCAGUGGCGCCACAGGGGGGGCUCGCGGCCUAUCAGCUAGUUGGGGGGGUAAUGGCCCACCAAGGCGACGACGGGUAGCUGGUCUGAGAGGAUGGCCAGCCACAUUGGGACUGAGAGACGGCCCAGACUCCUACGGGAGGCAGCAGUGGGGAAUCUUGCGCAAUGGCCGAAAGGCUGACGCAGCGACGCCGCGUGGGGGAGGAAGGCCUUCGGGUUGUAAACCCCUGUUGCCCGGGACGAAUGUGCUCCAUUGGGAGCAUUGACGGUACCGGGUGAGGAAGCACCGGCUAACUCCGUGCCAGCAGCCGCGGUAAUACGGAGGGUGCAAGCGUUGUCCGGAAUCACUGGGCGUAAAGGGCGCGUAGGCGGCUCAUGAAGGCUGUGGUGAAAGUCCGGGGCUCAACCUCGGAUCGGCCGUGGCGACUCGUGGGCUGGAGCACUGUAGAGGCGGGUGGAAUUCCCGGGUGUAGCGGUGGAAUGCGUAGAGAUCCGGAAG
rnacentral:rRNA from 1 species